rnacentral:rRNA from 1 species
UACGGGGGGGGCAAGCGUUGUUCGGAAUUACUGGGCGUAAAGGGUUCGUAGGUGGCUUGCUAAGUCAGACGUGAAAUCCCUCAGCUUAACUGGGGAACUGCGUCUGAGACUGGCAAGCUUGAGUGCAGGAGAGGAAUGCGGAAUUCCAGGUGUAGCGGUGAAAUGCGCAGAUAUCGGGAGGAACACCUAUGGCGAAGGCAGCUCGCUGGGACGUUACUGACGCUGAGACGCGAAAGCGUGGGGAGCAAACAGG